AGAGAGCAAUGUCACCCCAAGCCACUCUCCACCUUGUGGAGACCAGAGGAACUAGAACCCCUGCCCCACUGUUUAUGCCCAUAAGGGCCUCCUCAGAGUGAAGCUUCUUGCUACCCCAUGCUGCCAUGGCCACCAGGCUCCUCUGCUGUGUGACCCUUUGUCUCCUGGGAGUACAGCCCACAGAUGCUGGAGUCACCCAAACACCCAGGCAUAAAGUGACAAAGAUGGGACUAUCGGUGACUCUGAGUUGUGAACCAAUUUCAGGCCAUACUCACCUUUACUGGUACAGACAGAUCUUGGAGCAUGGACCAAAGUUUCUCAUUUACUUCAACAAUCAAAUGCCUGUAGAUGAAAGUGGGAUGCCCAAGGAACGAUUCUCAGCUAAGAUGGUUAAUGGAUCAUUCUCCACUCUGAAUAUCCAGCCCACAGAAGCCGGGGACUCAGCUGUGUACCUCUGUGCCAGCAGCUUAGCCACAGCGCUGCAGAGUCACCCCCUCCCUGCCUCUCCUCACUCACUUCCUCUCCCUACCACUAAUCCUGUCUCCAUUGGUGUCGUCAUCAUGACCUAG